CUUCUGUUGUUUCAGCUAGUACUUUAGUUGUUUCAGCUGCUGGUACUUCUGCUGUUUCAGCUGAUCCUUCAGUUGUUUGAGCUGGUACUUCUGUUGUUUUAGCUGGUACUUUUGUGGUUUCAGCCGGUACUUCUGUUG